rnacentral:lncRNA from 1 species
CAUGGCUGAUUAGAAGAUAGUGUCGUCUGCAUUCAAUGUGUUUUAAGUUUGUAAUCGCAGAGAAGAAGUUUAAAGGUUUAAUAACUUUAAUUAACAAUGAAAAAGGAACUAGUACUUUUUUGGAAACGUAAAUGGCUGCACGAAAAAUAGUAGAACAAAUCAUAUUACAAAACUGGUCGUCGUGCCAAGUCUGAUCACGUCUCUUGAUAGAAUCGCUGAAUACACAAUCCAAGGUGCUUAGCAGAUUAGAGGAGGCAGCCAUCCUAUUACCACAAGAUAUGCAAGAUUUUUUUGUGCUGGACCUGUUUUUAGCAACAAUCUCAGUAUAAUUGCUUGAUAAACAACAUCCCUUUUGAUUGGAGAAACUACCGAUGUCGUCCGAGUUAUGGAUAUUUUCAUCCCCUAUCUUUAAAUGUCCUCUUGGUUCACCCAUGUGGGUGUGUUCACAAGGAUCGCCUUGUUGCUAUUCCGCCUGGUGGAUUCAACUCUUCAGCUGGGAUGUGGCACUUGUGGAUGCCUGGCCGUAUUUCCCAGGCAUAGACGUAGGAUUGUCUCUAUUCUCCCUUUCUUACAUAGUUGGUGGCAUUGUUAAUUUAUCGUUACAUUAUACGGAGGAGUCUACGAUUAUUCCUGAGUAGCUACUGCGGUUGACUGAA